GAUUGAACGCUGGCGGCAUGCCUUACACAUGCAAGUCGAACGGCAGCACGGGUGCUUGCACCUGGUGGCGAGUGGCGAACGGGUGAGUAAUACAUCGGAACAUGUCCUGUAGUGGGGGAUAGCCCGGCGAAAGCCGGAUUAAUACCGCAUACGAUCCACGGAUGAAAGCGGGGGACCUUCGGGCCUCGCGCUAUAGGGUUGGCCGAUGGCUGAUUAGCUAGUUGGUGGGGUAAAGGCCUACCAAGGCGACGAUCAGUAGCUGGUCUGAGAGGACGACCAGCCACACUGGGACUGAGACACGGCCCAGACUCCUACGGGAGGCAGCAGUGGGGAAUUUUGGACAAUGGGCGAAAGCCUGAUCCAGCAAUGCCGCGUGUGUGAAGAAGGCCUUCGGGUUGUAAAGCACUUUUGUCCGGAAAGAAAUCCUUGGCUCUAAUACAGUCGGGGGAUGACGGUACCGGAAGAAUAAGCACCGGCUAACUACGUG
rnacentral:rRNA from 1 species